rnacentral:rRNA from 1 species
CCUACGGGUGGCAGCAGUGGGGAAUAUUGGUCAAUGGGCGCAAGCCUGACCCAGCAACGCCGCGUGAAGGAAGAAGGCUUUCGGUUUGUAAACUUCUUUUAUUGAGGACGAAACAAAUGACGGUACUCUAUGAAUAAGCCACGGCUAACUACGUGCCAGCAGCCGCGGUAAUACGUAGGUGGCAAGCGUUAUCCGGAUUUACUGGGUGUAAAGGGCGUGUAGGCGGGACUGCAAGUCAGAUGUGAAACCCAUGGGCUCAACCCAUGGCCUGCAUUUGAAACUGUAGGUCUUGAGUGCUGGAGAGGCAGGCGGAAUUCCGUGUGUAGCGGUGAAAUGCGUAGAUAUACGGAGGAACACCAGUGGCGAAGGCGGCCUGCUGGACAUUAACUGACGCUGAGGCGCGAAAGCGUGGGGAGCAAACAGGAUUAGAUACCCCUGUAGUC